rnacentral:rRNA from 1 species
GAUGAACGCUGGCGGCGUGCCUAAUACAUGCAAGUCGAGCGAACGGACGAGAAGCUUGCUUCUCUGAUGUUAGCGGCGGACGGGUGAGUAACACGUGGAUAACCUACCUAUAAGACUGGGAUAACUUUGGGAAACCGGAGCUAAUACCGGAUAAUAUUUUGAACCGCAUGGUUCAAAAGUGAAAGACGGUCUUGCUGUCACUUAUAGAUGGAUCAGCGCUGCAUUAGCUAGUUGGUAAGGUAACGGCUUACCAAGGCAACGAUGCAUAGCCGACCUGAGAGGGUGAUCGGCCACACUGGAACUGAGACACGGUCCAGACUCCUACGGGAGGCAGCAGUAGGGAAUCUUCCGCAAUGGGCGAGAGCCUGACGGAGCAACGCCGCGUGAGUGAUGAAGGUCUUCGGAUCGUAAAACUCUGUUAUUAGGGAAGAACAUAUGUGUAAGUAACUGUGCACAUCUUGACGGUACCUAAUCAGAAAGCCACGGCUAACUACGUG